CUGCUGUACGGUGAAUCUCAAGCACACCUGCAUUCUUAUCAUGGGUGAUGGGCAGUUCAAGAUUGCUGUCGUUCAAGAAGUUAAUGACCACUGUUGAGGUUGUGAGCUACAAAUACCCAGAAGAGGCGGCACUUACAUUGGAGUUCAUACAGAAUUUUCCUGUGAAGAAAUCCUAAAUGAGGGUUGAGAUGAAGGCAACCAGAAUUUUCCUGUGAAGAAAUCCUGAACGUGGUUUGAGAUGAAGGCAACCAAAUGGCUGUGCAUUCCUCCAAGACUCUUGCAUGAACAAUUUCAAAAAUCCAUGUAAUAUUUGAGUUUUUAAAUUGAAAAAAAAUGGCACUUGCAUUAAACAUGCAGUUAAAUGGUAAAUAAUACAUCCCCUAUAAUGAAUUGCAUCACUUCGAUGAUAUUUCUGUUAUAAUGAACUUCAAAAUUCUGUUGUCAAGCCACUGGAGUCACAUACUUUAUACCUUUCUGGACCUUGAAAAUGGUAGUUGCAUAGACAAUCAAUAGAGGGACAGAAAGUACCCAGAUUUAACUAAAAAUACUCUUAAUUUGUGUUCUAAAAAUGAGUGAAAGUCUUAUGGGUUUGGAAUGGUAUGAGUAAUUGACUGAAUUAACAUUUUUUUGUGUGAACUAUCCCUCUAAACAAUAUUGUUUUCUCUUAUAAGAAAAAAAAGUUUUGAAUCUUGACUGUUUCUCAUUGUGACAUUUAAAUUUUGUGACCACUUUUUAGUACAACACCUGUAUUGUACAGAUGCUCAUGUUUUCUUUUCUUUUUUUUUUUUUUUUUAAAUUCUGUCUGUUACUGU